AAAAAUCUCCCCUCUUUCUCCAUCUUCUCCGUGAAAGCCACGUCGCUCUUGACAAAAUUAACGAUGCCUCCGUCUCCACCCACCACUGGAAGAGGAAGGCCCAAAUAUCACCUGUUACGGUGCUAACAGUAACAAUACAAUGAAACCCUCAAUGUCGGCUCGAUUAGUGGUUUCUAGGUCUAGUUCUCUGAGGAAAUUGUAGAGAUACUCUUCUCGACGGGCUAAAAUGGCAGCACGAUCCUUCAGGAUUAGUUUAGUUCUAUUUAUGAAGGAUCUGUGGCUUAUGCUUCAUUUUAACUUAUUCAUUAAAUUACUUUUUUCUUAUCUUAGCUUGUGAAAAAGCCCCCCAAAAAACAUGGGAUUAUUUUGAAGAAG
rnacentral:lncRNA from 1 species